AACGAACGCUGACGGUAUGCCUAAUACAUGCAAGUCGCACGAGAAAGUUCCUUCGGGAGCGAGUAGAGUGGCGCACGGGUGAGUAACACGUAGGUGACCUACCUUUUGGAGUGGAAUAACCCCGAGCAAUUGGGGCUAAUACCGCGUAAGAUCGACUGAUUUAAAUAAGGUUGAUGAAAGGGUGCCUCUAUUUAUAAGCACUCGCCGAAAGCAGGGCCUGCGGGACAUUAGCUAGAUGGUGGGGUAAUGGCCUACCAUGGCGACGAUGUCUAGCGGAUCUGAGAGGAUGAUCAGCCACACUGGAACUGAGACACGGUCCAGACUCCUACGGGAGGCAGCAGUGGGGAAUCUUGCGCAAGGGGCGAAAGCCUGACGCAGCGACGCCGCGUGGGUGAUGAAGGCCUCCGGGUUGUAAAGCCCUGUGGAGAGGGACGAAUAGGUCGUGACCUAAUGCGUCAUGGCUGUGACGGUACCUCUUUAGCAAGCACCGGCUAACUCUGUGCCAGCAGCCGCCGUAA
rnacentral:rRNA from 1 species